GAACGCUAGCUACAGGCUUAACACAUGCAAGUUCGGAGGGGCAGCAUGGUCUUAGCUUGCUAAGGCCGAUUGGCGACCGGCGCACGGGUGAGUAACACGUAUCCAACCUGCCGUCUACUCUUGGACAGCCUUCUGAAAGGAAGAUUAAUACAAGAUGGCAUCAUGAGUCCGCAUGUUCACAUGAUUAAAGAUUUAUCGGUGUACGAUGGGGAUGCGUUCCAUUAGGUAGUAGGCGGGGUAACGGCCCACCUAGCCAACGAUGGAUAGGGGUUCUGAGAGGAAGGUCCCCCACAUUGGAACUGAGACACGGUCCAAACUCCUACGGGAGGCAGCAGUGAGGAAUAUUGGUCAAUGGACGAGGGUCUGAACCAGCCAAGUAGCGUGAAGGAUGAAGGUCCUACGGAUUGUAAACUUCUUUUAUAAGGGAAUAAACCCUCCCACGUGUGGGAGCUUGUAUGUACCUUAUGAAUAAGCAUCGGCUAACUCCGUG
rnacentral:rRNA from 1 species